CCAGGCGCUGUGCCUGGAGUCCAGAAACAGGAAGGCAGUCAUGUGUGGGGCUCAGAUGGGUGAGCUGUGGUCAUAAACACCUGAGAUCUACGUCCAACACCAGCGUGCUCCAGCUGUGGGACUUCUGGUUCAAAACCUUCCGAGCACUUAUUUCCUCAUCUGUAAAAUAAGAUUAUGACGACUACCCAUACCUUUUUUUUUUUUUUUCCUGUAAUUUAGUUUUCAGAGAGAACUUUUUGGGUGAGUGUUUACUUAAUAAUACCUCCUUGGACGCCUGGGUGGCUCGAUCGCCAAGCAUCUGACUUUGGCUCAGGUCGUGGUCUCACGGUUCCUGAGUGCCAGCCCUGGAUCAGAAUGCAAACGGAUUGGAUACAGUCCAAAGACUGGGCAGCAAAACAUGAUUAAGAAGUGACUGACUUAUGGGAAAAGAUGCAAAGAGCUCCAAGUCCGAAAGCCAUGUUGCAGAAACCCCUGGAAGGAGGUGAUCACCAUCUCCAAGCAUGGAAAUUCAGGAAAUAAAAGACGAGGAGAGGAACUUCUGGGAGAGGGGCAGGAGUUCAAGAGAGGGUGUUGCCUGAGAACCUACUAGAAUGGGUAAGAUUGGCCCUUCCCCAGGAGGUGAAUGAAUAUACACAGUGUCUGUGAUAAAUCACAGUCGAAUGGAGAACCGUGAUUUGAAGGGAAGAGAAUGCACAUUUCCUCUGAGGCUAAACACCAGCACCACCAAAAAGCCCAUCAUUUAGAGUGGGGGUCGGCCAACUUUUUCCGUGAGAAGCAUGGAUCAUAAAUGUUCUCGGCCGUGUGGCCCUCCCGGCUCUGUGUCACCUGCUCUACUCUGCCUUUGUUGGCUGAAAGCAGUCAUAGAUGAUAUGUAAAUAAUACGCGUGGCUGUGUUUCAAUAAAACUUUAUUGACAAAGACAGUGCUCAGGAAGCUUGGUUUGCUGACUCCUGAUCUGGAGCAGUGGGAAAGAGGCGGUGUAAACAAAACAAAACAAAACAAAACAACAAAACAAAACAAAACGAGGAGGUUCUGGAGAUGUGGGCUCAAAGGCCGUUUCUACGCCCGCUGGGCAGUGUAACCCCAGGCAAGCAAAUUGACUUUUUGAAUAUCACUCUUACCGACUCCCAAAAGGGGGUAACUGGAGGGUCUACCUUACGAAUUUGUUCUCAGAAUCAAAUAGAACCAUGCCUGUAUCAUGUUUAGCACAGGCCCGAGCACAUAGCAGCGGUAAGAACAGGGGGAGAGAAAAGAAGGCAGGUUUUCCUGAGGUCCUUCUCCCAUGGUAUCUGGGUUUGUGUAAAUGUUUCCUCCAAAAGCACAAGUUCCCGAAGUUCGUCCUAUUUAAUACGCGUCCCAGUGCCUAUGCCUCGGCGCGUAGCGACUGUCCUGUCUAGCAGGGCCUCUAAGAGCGGGAGGAGGGAUGAGGACUGGGUGCCCAUGGGUGAGCCAGGGAAAGCAGCCAGGAGAUGGGGAGCGAGGGAAGCAGAACAGGGCAGGGAAGAAACUAAGUGCAGAUUCAGCCUGACUGCACGGCGUUGGCCUCACCCACAGGCAGAGGGGGCUGGCCUUUCACCCUGGGACAGUCGGUUACUGGCCGUGGGCUGACCACAUCAAGGGCGAGGAGCUGUCCCCGAGACG